rnacentral:rRNA from 1 species
CUUUGAUUCUGGCUCAGGAUGAACGCUAGCUACAGGCUUAACACAUGCAAGUCGAGGGGCAGCGAUGAAGAAAGCUUGCUUUCUUCAGGCGGCGACCGGCGCACGGGUGAGUAACGCGUAUCGAACCUGCCUCAUACUCAGGAAUAGCCUUGCGAAAGUAAGAUUAAUGCCCGAUGUUAUUAGGAUAUCACAUGAUGUUUUAAUUAAAGAUUUAUCGGUAUGAGAUGGCGAUGCGUCCCAUUAGCUUGUUGGCGGGGUAACGGCCCACCAAGGCAUCGAUGGGUAGGGGUUCUGAGAGGAAGGUCCCCCACAUUGGAACUGAGACACGGUCCAAACUCCUACGGGAGGCAGCAGUGAGGAAUAUUGGUCAAUGGACGCAAGUCUGAACCAGCCAAGUAGCGUGCAGGAUGACGGCCCUCUGGGUUGUAAACAGCUUUUAGUUGGGAAUAAAGUGCACCACGCGUGGUGUUUUGUAUGUACCAUCAGAAAAAGGACCGGCUAAUUCCGUGCCAGCAGCCGCGGUAAUACGGAAGGCCCAGGCGUUAUCCGGAUUUAUUGGGUUUAAAGGGAGCGCAGGCGGACCUUUAAGUCAGCUGUGAAAUACGGCGGCUCAACCGUCGAACUGCAGUUGAUACUGGAGGUCUUGAGUGCACACAGGGAUACUGGAAUUCAUGGUGUAGCGGUGAAAUGCUCAGAUAUCAUGAGGAACUCCGAUCGCGAAGGCAGGUAUCCGGGGUGCAACUGACGCUGAGGCUCGAAAGUGCGGGUAUCAAACAGGAUUAGAUACCCUGGUAGUCCGCACAGUAAACGAUGAAUACUCGCGAUUUGCGAUACACAGUAAGUCGCCAAGCGAAAGCGUUAAGUAUUCCACCUGGGGAGUACGCCGGCAACGGUGCAACUCAAAUGAAUUGACA